CUGCUGGCCUUUCAGGGAAGGCUGAACGGAGGCCUGUCCCCUGGAUCCCUCCCCCUGUCCCCCCCAGGGUCCCCACACCAAGACACCGGCUAGAUCCCCACCUCGUCCACUCCCCACCCUCCGUCUCUGUCCAUUUUCUUCAGCACGGCCAUAAAAGCAAUUUCCUCAGCCCACGGGCUUUGCUCGAACUUUCCUUGUGGGAGUCUGCCCUCUGAAAAGAUUUUAUUUAUCAGAGAGACACAUAGAGCACAAGUAGGGAGUGGCGGGCAGAAGGAGAAGCGGACCCCCAGCUCAGCAGGCAGCCCAGAGCAGGACCCUGGGAUCAUGACCCGAGCUGAAGUCAGAUGCCUCACAGUCUGAGCCAGCCAGGAGUCCCAGGGAGAGUGCAUUUCUGAGGUAAGGUCAAGAAUUCUGAAGGAGAUGUGAAGCUAUUUGGUUGUUCCAACAUCACAGUCUGGGAGAAGAAGACUCAUGAGGCCAUGGGCUGAUGAAGGUAACUCCUGAAGGGGUCUUCCUGAAGGAACAGAUACACAGGAGAGAGCAGGAUGAGGGGAAGGAACUAAAUAUGGCAAAGUAGAUGCCUGUUGGCCAAAAGUGAACCAUGGACGUGUUUGUUUUGACUGGUCUGGCUUUUACAAAAUUAAGACAUUCCCAUAAAAGAUGGGAUUUUCAGUUUCUCUAGAAAAAUCAGAAGAUCUGGCUCCUCUGAGUCUGUACUCAUGCAUGGCAAUAAUUGGCGGGAUUUAGCAAGAACCGGCUCCCCCUGGGAAUACCUACCAACACAUUUGGCUCUUUAAAUUAAAGUUAAAUUGAGGGCUCAGUCCCUCAGUUACAGUAGCCACAUUUCAAAGUUUCAAUAACUACAUGUAGCCAGUGUCUACCAUAUUGGAUGGCACAGGUAAAGACCAUUGUCAUCAUCAGAAAGUUCCAUUGGAUGGCAUUGCUUUUAUACCCUCUGUCUCACUAGUCACUGUUCUCUCACCCAGGGCCAGCCCCAACCCCUUUUGUUACCUGUCUCACCCUUUAGGCAUUUCUCUUUGCAACUCCCAUAAUACAGUGCCAGUGUAAGGUUGACUGCGAAGCUCUGUGAAUUAAUCUUGGGAAUCGAAACCUAUCUCAAUUGACCACAGACUCACUGAAGUAUCUUGAAUUGAAUGUGUGCAUGUGUGUGUUCUUUGCAAAGUAAAGAGUGACAUGAGAAUUACGGAGACCAUAUAUGUGUAAAUGGUGUCUUACAAAGUUAUCAGACUAGAAGAAAAAUGGGUUUCAGUUAGAGUCCUUCACUGCAGGGGAAAACCAGAAGAAAAGACAUCUCAUUUCCUGUUCUCAACAACUACAGAUGUCCACUGGGGCGAAUGGGACAGAAUCGAAAGAACCAAAUCGGAUGAGAAAAAUGAACGGUAAAGCAAAGGAUAACUUUCCAGAUAAAAGUUAAUAUCCUGUUAGGUUACAUCACUUCUGCCUCUGCCCAUAUAUCACAGAACAUGCAGAAGAACUAACCGCGAUUCGGUUCAUUUGAUCAAUGAGGGAAGCAUUUGAAGCAAAUCAGAUUUGAGAGAAUCAUUUGGCUUGAAUUGUCUGACCCUUCUAAAUUAAUCAGAUAAGCAUAAAUACCAUCCAUGCAGGCUCAGUCAUUAAUAUUCAUCUUUGAGCUCAGUAAAACAUCCCAUGUGUGCGUGCGUGAGUCGGUGCACGCACACACCCCCUUUAAUUUCCAGGAGCAUUUUAUGGUUCCUAUGAACCUAAGAGGGAAGCACAGUACUCUUAGAGUUAUUACAUGUUAACAAACUUGGGAUCCAUAUUGUAUUUUAGUAAAUUUUAAGGGUUGUCCUGUCUUGGUUAACUUGCCUUGCCAUUAACUCUCUUGCCGUAGAAAUACGUGGAAAAUACAAGAGGAUCCUGACAGAUUUCUUUUGGCAGCAGGAAAAUUCUGUUUUUCAACCUGAAUUUGUUCAUUGUUGUCACUACCUCUAUGUUUUCAGGUUCACAUGUGAAAAUAAUUAUUCCUCACUUCAGGAAGUCUGUUUUCAAAAAGUAAGAUUGGCUUCAAAGGAUCCAGCCCCCUUAGCAGGGUCAGCCCAGCCAAGGAGACAGCUGGAUAGGAGCCCUGGCCUGAGGACGAUCUGAACUUUCCUGGGCUAUUACCUCUUGGGCUGGAGCCCUAGUAAUAGGGGCUGGAUUCCCCCUCCCCAUCAACAGAAGACCUCUACACGUCUGUCCCUAAGAGUUGAGAAUAGGCUCACAAAUGGGGAAGCAAAGUCCCUGGGGACAGCUCUCUCCCUUUGUCCCAGGGUCAAGUCCAAAUGCUUGGAUCCCAAGGCCGUUCCAGGAGCAGGAGAAAUGGUCCAGCUCAGGGUCAUGGCAGCUGCCCUCUAGUCCUUGAUAUAUGAUGUUAGGCAAGUCUUUGACCAUCUACGAGGGGUUUUUUACUCAUGUAUAUAAAGGAUUUCAAAUGGAUCAGCCUCCCUUUUGGUAAUUAUCAAAACCCCAUGUCCUCCUUCUUGGAUCUACAUCAGUCACUGCAAAAUUGACCUCAUCCUGAAGCAUCAGUGGAACUGAGAUCAAUGUUAUGCUUGCUGAAGAAAGGAGAAAACAUUCAUGUUUGUAUGCUUAUUAGGAGCUAGGCUACUAAAGAGCCCCACAGCUGUGAUUCUCAAAUUGUGGAGUCAGUUGGCCAGUGAGAGAGGGAGAGGGACAAGCAAACUCCCCAAUGAGCUUGGAGCCCGACAUGGGGCUUGAUCUCAUGACCCUGAGAUGAUGACCUGAGCUGAAACCAAGAGUUGGGCACUCCACGGACUGAGCCACCAGUGCCCCAAGCCUUAUCUGUUCUAUGCUCUAUCCAGAAACUUAAGGAAAUGCUUGUAGGUGCUCAAUAAAUGUUUCUUAAAUAAAUGAAUGAGGAAAGAAAGAAAGAAAGAAAGAAAGAAAGAAAGAAAGAAAGAAAAGAAAGCAUACCUAAUAACUUCCUUUGGUUAUUCCUGUAGGCCCCAUUCUAAGCAGAAAGUCUAGCUUAUUCCAGUCCCCUCACCUCCUACCCAGCUCUCCCAGCCAGAAGGGAUGCCCAGACUGGGUCAGAGUGAUGGGUUUGAUUGGUUAUUUUCUGGAUACACUUGCCAAUUGGAAAAAAUAAAAUGAUUAAUGGCUGGCACAGGGUCUUAAGAAAUGACACUGUACAGGCGCCUACGUGGCUCAGUCGGUUAGGCAUCUGUCUUGGGCUCGGAUUACGAUCCCAGAGUCCUGGGAUCCAAGCCCCCAUUGGGCUCCUUGCUCAGUGGGGAGCCUGCUUCUCCCUUGCCUGCCACUCUCCCUGCUUGUGUGCUCUCUCUCUCUGUCAUAUAAAUAAAUAAAACCUUAAAAGAAAAAAAAAAA